UUAAGUUCAGCGGGUCUUCCUACCUGAUCCGAGGUCAACCUUGGGUAAAUAAGGCUUUUAACGGCCGGAACCCGCAGCACGCCCUGAGCGAGAUGUAUUACUACGCUCGGAGUGAUAGCGAGCCCGCCACUGGUUUUAGGAGGCUGCGGGCAGCCGCAGGGGCUCCAACACAAGCCUGGGGCUUGAUGGUUGAAAUGACG
rnacentral:misc_RNA from 1 species